CUGUUUAACUUCCCCGGUGGCCGAAUGGUUGAUACGGCCACCUGGUAGCACCUUGGCGUGGGGACCCAAGGUGUGUGGGUUCGAAACCCGCAGGGGAACACCAAAUCCGGAGCCACUUUUCAGCUCCUUAAAUAAGGGAAUGUAAACUUGCCAAGUAGGUACCUUCGGGCGGACCUACUACCUGAUUUAGCUGAUUUUUCCUGGGCUGGGAACCUGUAUUGCAUGUACCAAUCCUGUCUCUCAUUUGAUUUUCCUAUGUUUACUAGUUAUAUCUUGGCGCGUUUUCAACACUAGCAUUCCUCCUGUAUAACCAACUCUUGCCUGUAUUUAACAUCACACAAGGAC
rnacentral:sRNA from 1 species